UCGCAGAGGGGUCAAAAAGGUUGUCUCUGGAAUUUCAAUGCGAUAUUCAUUACAAAAUGUGUGUUCGCCUUUAGUGGCUCAACUGUGUCAAACCAUCACACACAUCUUUCAGACUGGCACCAAAUGACUUCAUCUCAUGUGCUUCCCUGUUGUGUAUCACUUUUGACUGGUAACACAACUGUGUCACUGAUUGGCUUCUCCGAUGUCAUUUGUGAAGCUAACGUGCAUGUAAUGCGAGUUCUUUUGGUCCCAGCAGGUGGCGCUGUCCACUCAUCCUGCAGCAGCAGAACACCACCCACUUCUCCACACAUAACAACCACAGAUGAAUGGGACGGUUUGUCUCUGUUCGUGCAUACGCAGAGACACAACCACGUCUGGUAGAAAGAUGUCAUCAAUUAUAUUAUAUGUUCUAAAAGACGGACAAACAAAACAUUACUAGAGACACUUAAUAGGUAACUACUGCAGUCUGAACAGAACUCUAUUCAAGUCCCGAAGUACUGAGACAGAGACAGAGACCGUACUGAGACAGUACUGAGACAGAGACAGUACAGAGACAGUACUUAGACAGAGACCGUACUUAGACAGAGACCGUACUGAGACAGAGACCAGACAGAGACAGUACUGAGACAGAGACAGUACAGAGACUAGACAGAGACUGUACUGAGACAGUACAGAGACAGUACUUAGACAGAGACUGUACCGAGACAGAGACAGUA
ensembl:lncRNA